UCCUCUUCUACUAUACCUUUUCUAUUGUUAAUUUCUUUAAUUCAUAUGAGAUUUACUCUCUUUGAAGCUAUGCCUUUUUUAUUCUGGUUUUCUCAAAUCUGUCAUUCUUCGAUUGCAAUUUCUUUCAAUUCGGUAGUUAGGCUUUCUUCUUUAUAUUCAUUACAUCUGUUGAAAUAAUAAGGUUUGAAUUUUCGUAGUUUCUGCAAGUUUUCUUUGAUUUCCCAGGGCCUUUUGAAAUUCAGAUAUACAACAUGAGGUGAAGGCGUUCGGUGCGGAAACAUCUUUUAAUUGGAUCCGAACAAUCAAAAGCUUUGUCUCACACUUUCAAUAUCCUAUUGGAGAAGUUGGGACUAUUCAUCGGAUUACUAGUUUACCUUUGAGGAAGAGACAUUAUUUUACUUGUUGCAUUGGUUUCACGGGAUAAUGCAAGGAGCGGUUGCUGUUCUGUUGGAUUUGCAAGAGGAUUUUCUGCUCUGUUUUGUGCAAGGAAGAGCUGUUCUUCUCUCAUUCCAAGGGUGCUUAUAUAUUCAUGUAACAUUUUAAUUAUAUUAAUUCUUGGGUACCAACUUGAUUUCGAUAGCCAAGAUAUUUAAUUUUGAUCAAUUGAACUUUUAUUGCU